CCUUACAUGGGCCCGUGG
rnacentral:miRNA from 15 species